GACGAACGCUGGCGGCGUGCCUAAUACAUGCAAGUAGAACGCUGAAGGAGGAGCUUGCUUCUCUGGAUGAGUUGCGAACGGGUGAGUAACGCGUAGGUAACCUGCCUGGUAGCGGGGGAUAACUAUUGGAAACGAUAGCUAAUACCGCAUAAUAGUAGAUGUUGCAUGACAUUUGCUUAAAAGGUGCAAUUGCAUCACUACCAGAUGGACCUGCGUUGUAUUAGCUAGUUGGUGGGGUAACGGCUCACCAAGGCGACGAUACAUAGCCGACCUGAGAGGGAGAUCGGCCACACUGGGACUGAGACACGGCCCAGACUCCUACGGGAGGCAGCAGUAGGGAAUCUUCGGCAAUGGACGGAAGUCUGACCGAGCAACGCCGCGUGAGUGAAGAAGGUUUUCGGAUCGUAAAGCUCUGUUGUAAGAGAAGAACGAGUGUGAGAGUGGAAAGUUCACACUGUGACGGUAUCUUACCAGAAAGGGACGGCUAACUACGUG
rnacentral:rRNA from 1 species